CCUACGGGAGGCUGCAGUGGGGAAUAUUGGGCAAUGGGCGCAAGCCUGACCCAGCAACGCCGCGUGAAGGAAGAAGGCUUUCGGGUUGUAAACUUCUUUUAAGAGGGAAGAGAAGAAGACGGUACCUCUUUAUUCAGCCACGGCUAACUACGUGCCAGCAGCCGCGGUAAUACGGAGGUGGCAAGCGUUUUCCGGAUUUACUGGGUGUAAAGGGCUUGCAGCCGGGCUGACAAGUCAGAUGUGAAAUCCCAGGGCUCAACCGCGGAACUGCAUUUGAAACUGUCAGGCUUGAGUACCGGAGAGGUGAGCGGAAUGCCUGGUGUAGCGGUGAAAUGCGUAGAUAUAAGGAAGAACACCGGUGGCGAAGGCGGAUGACUGGACGGCAACUGACGGUGAGGCGCGAAAGCGUGGGGAGCAAACAGGAUUAGAUACCCGAGUAGUC
rnacentral:rRNA from 1 species